CAGCAGCCGCGGUAAUACGAAGGGGGCUAGCGUUGUUCGGAUUUACUGGGCGUAAAGCGCACGUAGGCGGACUUUUAAGUCAGGGGUGAAAUCCCGGGGCUCAACCCCGGAACUGCCUUUGAUACUGGGAGUCUUGAGUUCGAGAGAGGUGAGUGGAAUUGCGAGUGUAGAGGUGAAAUUCGUAGAUAUUCGCAGGAACACCAGUGGCGAAGGCGGCUCACUGGCUCGAUACUGACGCUGAGGUGCGAAAGCGUGGGGAGCAAACAGGAUUAGAUACCCGGGUAGUCCCUGUCUCUUAUAC
rnacentral:rRNA from 1 species